UAUUCGUGUAACUUGAUAGUAAUGUGUGGUUAUAACUCUUUGUGAUUCCAUCAGCUUGUUAUCUAAACUUAUACGAGUAUAGUGGUGCAGUUGUUGAUUAUGAUUUUUUUUUUUUUUAACACUAUUUUUUUUAUUUUAGUAAAGUGCAGAAAAUACCGUAAAUUCAUUAUAAUACUUGCACUCCUAUUUUAGAAAGUGUUAUUAAUUUCUUAUUCUUUUAUUUUAUUUAUUUAUUUAUUUUUUAAAUAUAAUAAAAUACUGUAAUGACUUGGUAUCAAAAGAGAGUGUUUUUCGGAUCGAACAGUUCAACGUAGCACCAGAUCAUUUAUAACUUUCCAUUUUCUGUCUAGAUUAUUUAUUUAUUUAUUUUUGCACGAAAACGAUAUCAUAUACCAUUUUAAAGGCACAAAGAUCAAGUCAACCACAGUACAAAGGCAAAAAACCAAGUUAAAAAAAGCAUACAAAUCAUGAAGUAAAGCAAUAAAAUAAAGAGCAUGUUCUAAAUUUGUGGAGAAAAUAAAACUUAAAACUUUGCGACGGAAUCACUACAGGAGACCGCAGAAAAAUGGAGUAACCUAAAGGUCAGAUCAUCGUCAAAAUAACAAAUCCAAAACUACAACUACAAGGUACUCUGUCACCCAAGAAACUCCGCACAAAAUCAAAUUAAAGGAAAAAAAAAAAUCAAAUCUAGACGGGCCAAAACCAAAACCGACUUAGAUGGAAGAUUUAAUUGGAAAAAAUAACAAUCCGCUCAUGUGAUCCAAAAAUGAAUCCAACAGAUCUACCGGAACAAAACAAAAACGACAUUAAAAAACACUAACGCACUUAUUAAAACUAGCUCAGUUUAUUGCAGUAGUGCAAGGCAGUCAUCAUCUCCCCACUCCCGGAAACAGGGAGGCAGUGAUGAAGACGAAGGGGGUUAGAGAGAGAACAAAUACCCUUGUAACUUUGCAUAUACUUAACCCACUUUAAAUCUUUUUCUCUCACCUUUUUCAAAAAUAAAAAAAUUUCUCCCUAUAUAUUUUCUAAAAACUCAAUGUACAUUCUUAAAUUUUCACAAGCUCUGGGUGAAUGGUGAUCGUUGGAAAAAAAUCGUGUGACAGAAACGAAAUGGCACGAAAUAUCAGAAAGGGUUUGGCGAGACUUUCAAUCACAUAAAAGCCUUUUGAAUGUUAACCAGCUGGUUUUCUUCUACAUUUUUGCUGCUACAACUAAAAAAAAAAAAACAGGGGCUAGCUCAAUGGCACUAGACUCCCGCCACUGUGGAGUAUGGGGAGGGUUAAUGUAAGCACUUCUACUUCUGAGUAUAGAGAGGUGGUUUCUUGUUUCAAAUCCGUGAUCUUCAGCCUCUCUACGUCUUUUUGCCGUCACAACUAAACUGUGAAAAAGUUAUUUGAUGAAACUGGAAAGAAAGGGAAAAGAUAUUGCUUACUUUUUGUAAAAUUAGUUUAGUCAAAAAGAUGGAAUCAUUCUCCGCACAAUUACGAUUAAGGCUUUGAGAAGUCAGUCCAGCUAGUCCUGCUGCAUUGUAAUUCAAGUGUCGGGGCCGGCCAAUUUUAAUAUUUGUUGGUUCUAGUGCUAUCAACUGAAGCUUCAAUUCCAAAUGUGUUUGAUAUUAUUAAGUUUAGCUUGAGAUGCUUGAUUCCA